CGAAAGCCUGACGGAGCAACGCCGCGUGAGGGAUGAAGGCCUCUGGGCUGUAAACCUCUUUUCUCAAGGAAGAAGAUCUGACGGUACUUGAGGAAUAAGCCACGGCUAAUUCCGUGCCAGCAGCCGCGGUAAUACGGGAGUGGCAAGCGUUAUCCGGAAUUAUUGGGCGUAAAGCGUCCGCAGGCGGCCUUGUAAGUCUGCCGUUAAAGCGUGGAGCUCAACUCCAUUUCAGCGGUGGAAACUACAAGGCUUGAGUGUGGUAGGGGCAGAGGGAAUUCCCGGUGUAGCGGUGAAAUGCGUAGAUAUCGGGAAGAGCACCAGUGGCGAAGGCGCUCUGCUGGGCCAUAACUGACGCUCAUGGACGAAAGCCAGGGGAGCG
rnacentral:rRNA from 1 species